UGGACUCUUCCAGAUUUCCUCCCCCGCGGGGCGGCGCGGCGGGGAUUUACCGUGGGCUGAAUUCAGGCCGGCCCAAUGGCUGAGCCUGUUGGGCCUACUCCGACGGAUCGAAACGCGGCCGGCCACGAAGCGGCUCUCUCGUCGCCGGCCGCCGCUCUCCUCCGUCGCUCAUUCCUCGGUCGUACCGUCGCCGCUUCCUCCAAAGUCCAAACCCUACGACGAGCGACGGCGUCUUCCUCCGCCCACCCGUCACCUCCCAUGCCGCCUCCACCUCCUCUCUUACGGAGGAGAUCGCCGUGGCUUCCAUGUCCUCGCUCUCCGCGGCAUCGCCGCUUUAGGGGGGCGACCUAGUCACUGCCUGCCCACGGCGUGCUCCGCCGCGCCCAGGCCGCUGACCGCCGUCCCCGACGUCUAGCGCGCGGCGUCGAUCUGGCCGCCGACGUGGUCCUCAGUGACCUCUACGGUCGGGCUCGCAUUUCGGCCGCAUCUCAAGCCCGGUGCCUGACGGCGGACCCCUUUCCACGUCCGGUUUGAUACUCUGAUCUGCCAACCGAUUGCAUGAUUAGUGGUGUUUGGAGAUUGCGGGAUUUUGGAAAAUGCCAAACUCUGAUUCUGCUGUGUGCCUGCCAAGCUUUUAAGUUUGUCGGGGGCUGCUCAUAAUUCAACAUUCUAGGUAAUUUCUGGUGCUUAUUUGAUAGUAUGGCUGUUGUGCUUAUUUGCCUUGUAUAUCUGUUAGCAGCUCCUUUUCAUGUCAUCAACUCAUGAUGCCGACAUAUUUCGUGUAGAUGCUCUGUUUGCCUCAUUAAUUCCUACAUCCCACAGGCCAAACCUUUAUUUUGUUUGAACCUUGCUCAUAUACUAAAACAGAAUAUGUGGAACAAACCUCUGUGUAAUAUCUACCGGAACAAUCAUUUGCAGGUUCUUCCUUAUAUCUAUAGGGAACUAACGUUUCUCUUAACUAAUCUUAUCGAUGGUACCGAUAAAUAGUGUUGAAAAUUUGGAAUUUCGUGUCUAUGUAAAUUUCUAGAGAUUUUUUUUUGAACCUUGCUUAACUUGGGUAACAAAAUUAGUGUUCAAAACUGCUUAACUUGGGUAACAAAAUUAGAAUUGUUCUAUGCAACAUGAUCAGCAAAACACAGGCCAGUGUCGCUGACACAAAUAUCUAGCCUAUGGAUUUAGGCUGGUGCCGAUGUGCUGUACAACAAUCUUCCUUGACACUGCCCUUAACCUCGUCUCUCUUGGAUAUACCUAUUGCCGCGUCAAAAUUUUCUAUCGCAUAUUACGAGGUUCUAUUCUUUGUUCUUAGUGCUUAUACAUUUAGUGGGUGGUUAGUUUAACUUCUUUACGUUGAUCAUGAUAUUUAUGACUGCAAGAUUUUGGGGGGCAUGUUUAUGGUCGAUAUGGAAAUAGUCAAGCAUUCGGUCAUAAUGCAUCAUGUUGUAUGUCCCAAUAAUUAUUGCUCCUUAAUGCUUUACCCGGCAUUUGAUAUGCUUAUUACUUUUUAAUUAGAUAUCACUAAACAAGCCUUCUCACUGUUGAGCUCCUGGAAUUCCUUUUAUCACUUUAAUUUUUUUCAUUGUUUAGUGUUGGUGAUUCAAUAUGUUACAUGCCUGCUAUUGCUGCCACUAUGUGCCACGACGCUUCUCUCCAUGUGAGACUUGUUGCAGGAUGCAAAGCAACAUCUAGGUGCCUAGGGUUGUGAAAUUUUUCAGUAUUUCUCAUUUAGCUCAGUUUCAACCUAUCAUUUAGUUACUCCCAUACCUUCCCUAGCUAAGUUUGCUAGAUCCAUUUGUAAAUCAUGGGAUGAUAUUUCUCAGAGGAAGAAAACAAAAGGAAUCAACCAACAUUCUUAUCACCCUCUUUCUGUCACAUUUAUGUUGUUUCUCUCCAGCCAAGCUGUCCUAUUCCUGUUCCAUAUUUUGUGCAAUCCUACCCCCUUCAUCCCAACCCCAGCUGCAGGAUGAAAGGGGCAUGGCUAUUAAACUGUGCCUAUCUUCCUAGUGUGUUCUCUGUCGCGGGCUCAUAAAAUAUGCAAUAGAUUAAGUAAUGGAAUGAAGUAAACUGGAGAAAUAUUCUUUUUUUUCAAAAGGUUGGAUCUUCUGAGUACAUAUCCCAAUUCUCUUUUUGCCAAAAGAAUGUACGUCCCACCGGGAUUCGAACCCAGGUUGCCAGAUUCAAAGUUUGGAGCGAUAACCACUACACCAUGGAGCCGUUUUAUGUAUUUUCUCCCUAGAUAAUAUAUUUAUGAUAACACGUCCCCGUAGCACCAUAUUGUUUUUUUUUUCUGUUAGCCGUUCCCAAUAAAUCGCAAGGAAUAGGCUGAUUUAUGUAGUUUAACUGAUGCACAUUGCUGCUUUAUUGAGUGCUAUUUAGGAAACAAAUUUGACAGAAGGGAUAGUCUCUCCAAUUCAACAUUUUUUUUAUUUUUAAACCAUUCAUUGCCAUAUCUGCAGUCAGACUGUUGAGCUUUGACAUGAACUUGUGCUUGCCUCCAUUUUCAGCAUCUUUUUUUUGUUGUGCCAGCUACUGGGUUUUACUAUACCUGAUUCUUUCCUCUUUCUGAGUCUAAAGAGAUUAUGGAGCUGUUAAUGAUGCACGACUUUGUCAAUUGUUUGUACCAUGUCAAUAGACUGAUUAAGAAAUAAAAUAUCUUAUUCUUUACUUGAGUGAGACAUAUUUGCAAUUCAUUGAGAAAUGUAUGGUGUGUCAACUUCUAGUGCAAAUCGGUAAUAUAUUGAAAGUCAUGUGGGAAAUAGCACCAGUCAAUGUUGUAUAAUUAUCCAGCUUGCUUAUCGCCUUCUCACUCUCAACUAUGUUGUUUCUCUCCAGCCGAGCUGCCCUCUUGUUCGAUUAUGUGCGCAACUCCUAUCACCUCCAUCAUAAUCCUGGCUGUAGGAUAGAAUGUCACAAAUAUUUGCUGAUCAACAUCCCGCUUUUCCUACCACAUUCUCUAUCCCAAACACCUUUUCCUACCACAUUCUCUAUCCCAAACACAUUAAGCAUGCAAUGGAUUAAACAUUGGAGGAAAUGAUGAAAUUUUUUCUGAAUGUAUUAAGGGGCCGUUUGGGAGGGUUUCUCCGAAACAGCUUCACUAGUGAAACAAAAAAAAAAAAAACUGGAUUCACCCGGCUUCUAGUCCAUUUUACCCUGAGCUAACAAAACGGCUUUACACUACAGAUCCUCGAUUUGCACAAAAUAGGUGAAGCCGAAGUUUGGAUAAGCUCUCCCAAACAGCCCCUAAAGUAAACCUGGAAAAGUUAAUUGGUUUUUCCAAAAGUUUGGAUCUUCUGAGCUCCUUUUUACGAAAGCUAAUUGGGUUUCCAAAAGUUUGGAUGAUUGGAUAUUUUGAAUGGCAUAUCACAAAUUCCCCUUUGAUGUAAAAAGGGUAGGUCCCACCGGGAUUCGAACCCAGGUUGCCAGAUUCAAAGUCUGGAGUGAUAACCACUACAUCAUGGAACCAUUUUAUGUGUUUUCUCCCUAGACAAUAUAUUUAUGAUAGCAUGCCCCAUAGCACUAUAUUGUUUUUCUUCUGUUAGCCGUUCCCAAUAAAUUGCAAGGAAUAAGCUAAUUUCUAUAGUUUAACUGAUGCAUCUUACUGCGUUAUUGAGUGCUAUUUAGGAAUUGAAUUUGACUGAAUGGAUAAUUUCUCUUCAAUUCAACAUUUUUUUAUUUUUUUUAAAAAUCAUUCAUUGCCAUAUCUGCAGUAGACUGUUGAGUUUUGGCAUGAACUUGCGUUUGCCUCCGUUUUCAGCAAUUUUUUUGGUUAUGGCAGCUACUGGGUUUUAUUAUACCUGAUUCUUUCCUGUUUCUGGGUCUAAAGAGAUUAUGGGGCUGUUACUGAUGCACGACUUUGUCAAUUGUUUGUACCAUGUCAAUAGACUGAUUAAGAAAUACAAUAUCUUGGCUUGA